rnacentral:misc_RNA from 1 species
GGCCAUUGAAUCAAUUUGGUGGAUACUAAAAAGCAUUGAAUCCAGUGCCUCCACAGCAAGGGCACAUAGGCUUUGAACAUCGGCACCAACAGAGAGUCUAUUGACGAUCCCGCGUGCCAUGUUUGGCAUGCCAUCAAGCGGCCCAACCUCCGACUCCAGCUUCUUCAUUGCUAUGUCUACAAUCUUGUGCAAACCUUGGUAUUUCUCGGUUAAGCUCAGAAGUUUGUGACUUAAGGAGACACGAUAGCACAAUAUGUCUACUCGUCUUGCAUCCUUCGCAAUCACAAGCUGCUUCCUCCAACAUCGUAACAAGUCGUUCAAUUUCCCACAGUGUAU